GGCGAACGCUGGCGGCGUGCUUAACACAUGCAAGUCGAACGGAAAGGCCCUGCUUUUGUGGGGUGCUCGAGUGGCGAACGGGUGAGUAACACGUGAGUAACCUGCCCUUGACUUUGGGAUAACUUCAGGAAACUGGGGCUAAUACCGGAUAGGAGCUCCUGCUGCAUGGUGGGGGUUGGAAAGUUUCGGCGGUUGGGGAUGGACUCGCGGCUUAUCAGCUUGUUGGUGGGGUAGUGGCUUACCAAGGCUUUGACGGGUAGCCGGCCUGAGAGGGUGACCGGCCACAAUGGGACUGAGAGACGGCGCAGACUGCUACGGGAGGCAGCAGUGGGGAAUAUUGCACAAUGGGCGGAAGCCUGAUGCAGCGACGCCGCGUGCGGGAUGACGGCCUUCGGGUUGUAAACCGCUUUCGCCUGUGACGAAGCGUGAGUGACGGUAAUGGGUAAAGAAGCACCGGCUAACUACGUG
rnacentral:rRNA from 1 species